rnacentral:rRNA from 1 species
AGCAGCCGCGGUAAUUCCAGCUCCAAUAGCGUAUAUUAAAGUUGUUGCAGUUAAAAGCUCGUAGUUGAACUUCAGGCCUGGCUGGACGGUCCGCCCUCUGGGUGAGCACUGUCUGUGGUCGGGUCCUACCUUCUGGUGAAGCGGCAUGGCCUUAAACCGGCCGUGGCGGGGAACCAGGACUUUUUACNGUGAAAAAAUUUGAGUGUUCAAAGCAGGCACGCGCUUGAAUACAUUAGCAUGGAAUAAUGGAAUAGGACAAUGGUUCUAUUUGUUGGUUUCUAGGACCGUUGUAAUGAUUAAUAGGGAUAGUUGGGGGCAUUAGUAUUCAAUUGUCAGAGGUGAAAUUCUUGGAUUUAUUGAAGACUAACUACUGCGAAAGCAUUUGCCAAGGAUGUUUUCAUUAAUCAAGAACGAAAGUUAGGGAUCGAAGACGAUCAGAUACCGUCGUAGUCUUAACCAUAAACUAUGCCGACUAGGAAUCGGGCGAUGUUGACAAAAUUGACGCGCUCGGCACCU